rnacentral:tRNA from 1 species
GCGCUCAUAGCUCAAUUGGAUAGAGUGUUUGACUACGGAUCAAAAGGUUAGGGGUUCGACUCCCUUUGGGCGCACCA